rnacentral:rRNA from 1 species
UACAGGGGGGACAAGUGUUACUCAUCUUGACUGGGCGUAAAGGGCAUCUAGGCGGUCUAUUAAUGUUUUUUGUUAAAUUCUUCGGGUGGUCCGAAGGGAGCAUUCUAUACUUUUAGACUUGAGUUUGUUAAACGAUUUGCUGAACUCUUAAUGAAAAGGUGGAAUUUCUUGAUAUUAAGGGGACAACCAACGGCGAAGGCAGCAAUCGGGGGCGGAACUGACGCUGAUAUGCGAAGGCGUGGGGAUCAAAUGGG